GGCCCCUUGGCGGAACCGGUAGACGCAGCAGACUUAAAAUCUGCGACCCGUAAGGGUGUGGGAGUUCGAGUCUCCCAGGGGCCACCA
rnacentral:tRNA from 1 species